CAUUCUUUUUCUUAAGAGCCCAGAGAGCACGGGGGUUCCACUUCCUCCAGAGGCAAAAUACUAUAAAAUAAACUCUCUUUGAAGAGCAGUCGUUCGGUAAAGAGGGUCAUUAAAAACUGUAGGCUGGAAAUAAAAGGGAUGAAGUGGAGGUUAUCUGGGAAAAUAGGCUAUUUCCGGCUUCAUUAGGAAUUUCCUGAAAGCGCGGGCUUGCGGCCAGGGCCUGGGAGAGUGUGAACUUGUCCUGGCCGGGUCGAGUGCACUUGGACUCAGGCACUACCUGAGGUACGUUGCCCAUCUCCUUAAGGCUGUGUGUGUGCUGUCUGCGUGCCAUAUCCUGUGCCACACACAUCUUUCCAGGACCUUCUCUAGCCCUUUCAGGAACCUUGUGAGGAAGCACUGUGUCAUCCCUGGUGUUCAGAUGAGGAAACAGAGUGAUUUGGCCUUGACCCCGCAACUGCCAAAUGACAGCUGGGAUCCUGAAGUAGGGACCCUGACGCCACCUGGUCGUUUCCCUACAGUAACGAACAAGCUGAGCUGUGCCUCCUCUGGGGAAGGAAAUCAGAUGAAGAUUUGCCUGAGAUGAUUCCAUUGUGACUGGAAAAGACAAGGAUGCAUUGUUGAGCGGACAAUGCCAGAAGUAAGGAAUAUGCAAAAUGGACUGGACCUCUCCAUUCCCAAUCUCUUAAAGAAAUAAAAUGUUAGAUAUGGUUGAAAUCCUUUCAAGUAUCUCUUCUUCCAAGAGGUGACCAUCAUUCUGAAGUCAGUGUGCAUCAUUUGUCUCAUUUAUGUGUACGUCCCCCUCCAUAUAUAUGGAGUUAUAAUUUAUAAUACUGCUUCGUGGACUUCAGCGAACUACAUGGAUUCAUGGUAUGGAAGCUCCAGCUCUUCAGCACCAUUUUUAUUUCCAUUAAACACUAUCGUUUUGAGAUCUGGAUCUAGUUCGUGGAUCCCCUUGUCCCAUAAGAUGCCGCAUGUGACUCCAUCACUCUGGCCACUGGCCUCCUAACAGGCAAACCCAGGUUUGCUGGGGAGUGUUGCAAGCAACCCUACAGGGCCCUUCCUGGCAGAUUACUCCUGGGGCAUAUGGGUAUUUCACUAAACAUUGAGUUGCUGGCUCAUUGGGUAUUUUCAUUUUCACUUUUAUUGGUUACUGUCCGAUUUCUCUCAAAGUCGUCAUACCUACUUACAUACCCAACGGCAAGAUUUGAGAUUUCCUGUUUCAAACACCUCCCGGUACGUGGUAUUAUGUUAAAAAAUUA